GUUGUACGUUGAUCAUAGAUCAUUUUUUUUAUGCUAUAGGUGAGGCAUAAUUGCUAACUGUUUCAUGUUUCUUUCUUUCAGUGUUAAAAGCGAAGUCCUUAUUUCUGCAGCUUUAGUGGCACUGUAGUCUACUACUAUUUUUAUUUACGCAAUUCUGUUUAGUGGCAUAGAAUUUAUACACUUCACUUUUAACUUCAUAAAUGUAGGUCCGAUAGUUUUCAGUCAGUAAUAUGCCUGUAUACUCUUGUCCAGAAAGAAGCCAACCAUAUAGGGAAUUCAAGGAAGACAUGGAAGGGCUGAUUUUCAGGUGUCAAGCAAUGAUAUUACAGGGCACUCAUAUGGACUUAACACCCAUAACAGAAAUAACCUUUACAUGUCUGGACAUCUGCCUUUCCUUACAUCAGAACCACAGCAUGUCUUCAGCAGCAAACAGCUUCCGAUCAGAGACUCUUCUGUACCGACAUGUUUUAUGUGGAUUGACAUCAUGUAACCAAAGGAUGCAGUGACUCCCUCAUCUCCUUGGUGAAAAAAUUUCUGCGACAAUCGUACAAUUUUAGAAAAAAGCAGGGCCUGGAAGGGGAGCAGGCGGCUGCUGGCGUAUCAGUAAUCAGUUGGCUUUAUCUGGACUUGUCACGCACUCAGAGCUCGGCUGGCUACAAUCCUCAGGCUUGAUCAGAUCAGGAUGUCCUGGGAAAGCAAGAUAAAGCACUUCGCAG